AUACUUACCUGGCAGGGGAGAUACCAUGAUAAGGAAAGUGUUUUUUCCCAGGGCAAGGUUAGCCAUCACACUCUGGAUGUGAUUUCCUCAAAUGUGGGAAACCCUACUGCAUAAUUUGAGGUAGCAGGACUGCAUUUGCGCUUUCCCCU
rnacentral:snRNA from 1 species